CUUUAUUAGCCUUAAUGAAAAACAAGAGAAAAAUACCAAUAGAGGCGUCUUUGGAAUUUUAUGAAACUUGGCUGAUCAUUUCUAUGUAUUUUUAUAUAGGUAUCACCAAAAAAAACCCGCUAAAAUUAUGAUUUUAAAGUUAAGGUUUUCGUUGUUUUGGUUUUUGACGCUUUAGAAAUUGAUAAUCAAUUUGUUCUUUGUCGGAAAAUUCUAAUUUUAGGUAGGAGGCCUUAUAUUAAUGUCGUAUACAUACCUACCUGUAAAAAAGCAUUAAAAAAAUACGACAUCUAUGUCCCUUUCGUAUUAGCGCCUCAUGUGCGAUUGGGCUAUUGGAGGAUUAAGAUGAAAAUAAUCUUGAAAUACAAAGUGGAAUCUGUGUUUUUAUUGAGGCGUAUCUCCAGACUUUGUGUAUAUUAUAGGAGCUAUUUCAACAAUUAACCCUAAAAAUAAAAUAGAAAAUACAAAACAUGGGGGCAUAAACUAAACUUAUGAUAGUAAAAAAAAUUAGAAAGGAGAUUCCUACCUCUAUAAAUAUUCUCAAAAAUAAAUGGCGGGAUUAGAUUACAUUAGACAAAUUCUAGGUUUGAAAUGCCAAAAUUAUCCUACAGAUCUGCAUAAGUAUUUUCUACCCUAAAAAUAUGAAAAUAUAAUAAUCACAUUUUAGCAGUGAGCUUUAUGCAGUUUAAGCAUAAUUUCUUAACAUCCAAGGGAUGAGUAUGUUGUAUUUGAAAGCAGCAACUACCAAAGGCGAAACACAUUUUUACAAAAUAUUAUGUCUGAUUCUUUGAAGAAAAAAAAAUUAUCACC
rnacentral:lncRNA from 1 species